rnacentral:rRNA from 1 species
AUACGGAGGACGCGAGCGUUAUCCGGAUUCAUUGGGUUUAAAGGGUGCGCAGGCGGCCGUGCAAGUCAGCGGUGAAAGCCCGGGGCUCAACCCCGGAAGUGCCGUUGAUACUGCAUGGCUGGAAUGCGGUCGAGGCGGGCGGAACGGGGCGUGUAGCGGUGAAAAGCGUAGAUAUGCCACAGAACGCCGAUAGCGGAGGCAGCUCGCCAGGCCUGCAUUGACGCUCGGGCACGAAAGCGUGGGGAUCGAACAGGAUUAGAUACCCUGGUAGUCCACGCCGUAAACGAUGGGCGCUCGUCGUCGGCGGCAGACAGUCGGCGGCCAAGCGAAAGCGAUAAGCGCCCCACCUGGGGAGUACGGUCGCAAGGUUGAAACUCAAAGGAAUUGGCGGGG